rnacentral:rRNA from 1 species
AGAUUGAACGCUGGCGGCAGGCCUAACACAUGCAAGUCGAGCGGCAGCACGGGUACUUGUACCUGGUGGCGAGCGGCGGACGGGUGAGUAAUGCCUAGGAAUCUGCCUGAUAGUGGGGGAUAACGUUCGGAAACGGACGCUAAUACCGCAUACGUCCUACGGGAGAAAGUUGGGGGAUCUUCGGACCUCACGCUAUCAGAUGAGCCUAGGUCGGAUUAGCUA